rnacentral:rRNA from 1 species
AUUGAACGCUGGCGGAAUGCUUUACACAUGCAAGUCGAACGGCAGCACGGGUGCUUGCACCUGGUGGCGAGUGGCGAACGGGUGAGUAAUGCACCGGAACGUAUCCAAUAAUGGGGGAUAACGCACCGAAAGGUGUGCUAAUACCGCAUACGCCCUGAGGGGGAAAGCGGGGGAUCGUAAGACCUCGCGUUAAUGGAGCGGCCGAUGCCGGAUUAGCUAGUUGGUGAGGUAAAGGCUCACCAAGGCGACGAUCCGUAGCUGGUCUGAGAGGACGACCAGCCACACUGGAACUGAGACACGGUCCAGACUCCUACGGGAGGCAGCAGUGGGGAAUUUUGGACAAUGGGCGCAAGCCUGAUCCAGCCAUUCCGCGUGAGUGAAGAAGGCCUUCGGUUGUAAGAC